rnacentral:snoRNA from 1 species
AUCCUUUUGUAGUUCAUAAGUAUGAUGAUUGGGUGUUCAUGCGCCUGCGUGAUCUGUGCCUCCCUCAAACCUUGUUACGACAUCGGCACAUUACCUGACGUGAAA